GGCGAACGCUGGCGGCGUGCUUAACACAUGCAAGUCGAACGGAAAGGCCCUGCUUUUGUGGGGUGCUCGAGUGGCGAACGGGUGAGUAACACGUGAGUAACCUGCCCUUGACUUUGGGAUAACUUCAGGAAACUGGGGCUAAUACCGGAUAGGAGCUCCUGCUGCAUGGUGGGGGUUGGAAAGUUUCGGCGGUUGGGGAUGGACUCGCGGCUUAUCAGCUUGUUGGUGGGGUAGUGGCUUACCAAGGCUUUGACGGGUAGCCGGCCUGAGAGGGUGACCGGCCACAUUGGGACUGAGAUACGGCCCAGACUCCUACGGGAGGCAGCAGUAGGGAAUAUUGCACAAUGGGCGGAAGCCUGAUGCAGCAACGCCGCGUGCGGGAUGACGGCCUUCGGGUUGUAAACCGCUUUCGCCUGUGACGAAGCGUGAGUGACGGUAAUGGGUAAAGAAGCACCGGCUAACUACGUG
rnacentral:rRNA from 1 species